rnacentral:tRNA from 1 species
CGGGGUGUGGCUCAGUUUGGUAGAGCGCUUCGUUCGGGACGAAGAGGUCGCGUGUUCGAGUCACGUCACCCCGA